GGAUUAGAUACCCUGGUAGUCCACGCCGUAAACGAUGAUCACUAGUGGUAUGAGGUUUCGACCCCUUGUGUCACAAAGCUAACGCGUUAAGUGAUCCGCCUGGGGAGUACGAACGCAAGUUUAAAACUCAAAGGAAUUGACGGGGACCCGCACAAGCGGUGGAGGAUGUGGUUUAAUUCGAAGCUACGCGAAGAACCUUACCGAGGUUUGACAUCCCAGGAAGGCCGCCGAAAGGUGGCUGUGCCUUCGGGAACCUGGUGACAGGUGCUGCAUGGCCGUCGUCAGCUCGUGCCG
rnacentral:rRNA from 1 species